AGUCCUUCGCCGUCCCUCGCCGUCCUUCGCCAUCGCACGCCACCGCACCCCAUCUCUCGAAAUCUGCAGACAUCUUGAUUUUUCCCACGCUGUCUGUCAGGUCUCCGCCGCCACUCGACGCCAGGGCGCCGGGUGAGUCCACAGCAGGGCGCAUGGUCGGCUCCACUCUCACCAUCGGGGGAAACUGAGGCCCCGGGGAAGGCGGCCAGAGAGGUCAGGCCCUGUCCUUGGUGCAGUGUCUCGUCCUCUUUGCCGGAGUGAGCCCCCCAGGAUUCGCGUGUCCUCGGGAAAGACACUGGCAGGCCUUGUGGGCUGUGCUGCACCUCGGACGGCUUCGCACCAGCCAGCGCCCUCUCUCUCCUGCAGCACUCUGAUCUGCACCCCCUGAGGGGCUUCCACUGUCCGCGGGGUGAGAAUGCCCCUGGGAGUGUCACAUGACUGCCGCCCCAUGUGUGUGAGAGGCGUCCUCUGGGAGAGCAUGGAUCCUGAGGUCCCAGGAACAUCCCGAGAGCCAAGUUCCCAGAUGCCAGCCAAGGGCCAUCUGACCUGUUUUGAAUCUCAAUUUCCUGAUACAGAAAACAAAGGAUUGUCAGCUGACCUCUGUCCUGUGUGCCCAGUGGCCCCAGGUGACGUGUCUUCAAGAAGAGGCUGAGCUGCGGUGCUUGUAAGAGUCAUGUGCUGUUCCUGGGGCUUGGAUGAUGUAGGGGAAGCAAGGUGAAAGUGGUAUCCCGUGGUUCCACGUUCUGUCCUGCUGUGGGGCUGUCCCUCACAUGCUUUCAGUGGCUGUUGCAGAGGAAGAGCCUCCGGAAAUCUGCGUGGGUCUCAGCCUUAGAUCCAAGGACAGUCCAAGGAAGUCCUAAGACCAUGGAGUUGGUGAUCUGGGAUCUGGGUUUGCUGAUAUUUCUCACCGUGAAUCUCUUGGUGGUGUUUGUGGGCACGAGAGGGGCAGAGAAUGGAGAGUGAGGCUACCACAUGAAGCGUCACCAGAGCUGCUCCCUGCUGCCUGCUCAGAGCACCCCGGAUCCACUGUUCAAUCUGCACAAGAUUCGGGGUCCAGACAUGGGAGACUUCAGCUGCCUCAGAGGACCGUGGACAGGGAAGGCCAGCCUCGCAUCCCUCUGUCCAUGCCUGGAAUGACUUUAAUAACCAAGAGUUUUAUUUUUGAAUUUGUAGCUGUCGUUCACUUUUUACCCACCCAUUCAAUAAACCUUACAGAAUUGCUCCA
rnacentral:lncRNA from 1 species